rnacentral:misc_RNA from 1 species
UUUUUUUAUUUAUUUGGUUUUUUUUUAUUUGUGAUAUUGAACUGAACCAAACUAAAUUGACCGAUGCUCACCCCUAUCAUAAUAUAAAAUUCCUCAAACUUCAAAAUAGUAGGGAAGGAAAAAGAAAGCAAGGAGAGGGCAUAGGUGGUGAACAUGUCAAGUCAUUUGAAUUUGGAUUAUUUCGAAUUGUGAGUCAUAUCGAGUCUUUUUUCUUUUGGACGGGCCAAAAUUCAAGUUGAUUGUGUUAGUCUAAUUUCUAUAAUACCAUAUACAUCAAUUUUGUAAAUAAAUUAAAAACUUUUUACUCAGCCUUUUUAUACAAGAAUAUAUCAUCUCACACGUAAAUAUUGAAUGCCAACCUAAAUUUUCUAGAUGUAAAGGUUGAUCUCAAACUUUCCCUCUUUAAAAAGGUGAGUGGCCUGAUGUAGAAAUUCAAUUUACG